UACGUAGGGUGCGAGCGUUAAUCGGAAUUACUGGGCGUAAAGCGUGCGCAGGCGGCUUCGCAAGUCAGACGUGAAAUCCCCGGGCUUAACCUGGGAAUGGCGUUUGAAACUACGGAGCUGGAGUGUGGCAGAGGGAGGUAGAAUUCCACGUGUAGCGGUGAAAUGCGUAGAGAUGUGGAGGAACACCGAUGGCGAAGGCAGCCCCCUGGGCUAACACUGACGCUCAUGCACGAAAGCGUGGGGAGCAAACAGG
rnacentral:rRNA from 1 species